CUACAAGAGUCCAGACCCGCACCGUUUUUCAGAGAGGGAGAGACGGUCCCCGUUUGUCCUACCCGCUGUCUUUACGCGUAGCUCAACAUGCGAACUAUUCUCUAGCCAGGUCAAACAUACACUGCCUACUUUUCCCGGUGUUGUUGUUUAUCUGGAACUUCGGGGAACCAAUAAUUAUAUUUGAGAAUCGGUGUGAUUUGAACUAGAAAGAUACUGCAUUCAGCACCGUUGGAUUUAAUGUCUUGUAUGCAUGCGGUGAACAUGGGUUUAGGAUGGAUCUUCGUAGCCGCUUUGGCUGGAAUUCUCACCGCCACUCCAGGAAUUCAAGGAGCAUGUGUCUAUCAGGGAUCUCUGUUUGCGAACAACACCUCGUGGAGACCAGACUCCUGUCAGGAGUGUCAAUGCUUCAGCGACAUCACCGUCUGUCAACUUGCGACCUGCCUCAACCCACACUGUGACUAU